GACGAACGCUGGCGGCGUGCUUAACACAUGCAAGUCGAACGGAAAGGCCCUGCUUUUGUGGGGUGCUCGAGUGGCGAACGGGUGAGUAACACGUGAGUAAACUGCCCUUGACUUUGGGAUAACUUCAGGAAACUGGGGCUAAUAACGGAUAGGAGCUCCUGCUGCAUGGUGGGGGUUGGAAAGUUUCGGCGGUGGGGGAUGGACUCGCGGCUUAUCAGCUUGUUGGUGGGGUAGUGGCUUACCAAGGCUUUGACGGGUAGCCGGCCUGGGAGGGUGACCGGCGACAUUGGUACUGAGAUACGGCCCAGACGCCUACGGUAGGCAGCAGUGGGGAAUCUUGCACAAUGGGCGGAAGCCUGAUGCAGCAACGCCGCGUGCGGGAUGACGGCCUUCGGGUUGUAAACCGCUUUCGCCUUUGACGAGGCGUGCGUGACGGUAAUUGGUAAAGAAGCACCGGCUAACUACGUG
rnacentral:rRNA from 1 species